rnacentral:tRNA from 1 species
ACUCGUGUAGCUCAAUGGUUAGAGCGCGCGACUUAUAAUCGCGUGACGAAGGUUCAACUCCUUCCACGAGUACCA